rnacentral:ncRNA from 2 species
GAUUUAUAAAGAAGUGUGGAGAGUACAGGCUCUGUGAAACACUAGCAACCUUCGGCCGGGUAAAACCGGAAAGGAAACGGUGCUAAAUCCUGCUCCCGGCAAGGUGCUGAGGAGAACUAUAAACC